GAGGGCAGGACAGCUUCUGUACAAUAUGUUUUGGAUUCUUCAAUAAGUGAUGUCGGCAGGUUGACAUAGUUCCAGUCAUGACUUUAAGUACGAGUAUCUUUCCACUUGUGUUCCCAGCCUUGGUGGUGUGCCUAGCUGUUACACUUGUCUGCUUGUAUCAGUACGCAAGAAAGAAGAGAGCAGCAUAUGACUUUGCCAUCGCAAGACUGCAAGAUGAAAACACAUCUAUAGCAGUCUUUACAAUUUCUUUGUCUGAAGAUCAGGC